rnacentral:rRNA from 1 species
AACGAACGCUGGCGGCAGGCCUAAAACAUGCAAGUCGAACGAUCUAGCAAUAGAUAGUGGCGCACGGGUGAGUAACGCGUGGGAAUAUGCCCUUCACUGCGGAACAACGUCGGGAAACUGACGCCAAUACCGCAUAAUGACUCCGGUCCAAAGAUUUAUCGGUGAAGGAUUAGCCCGCGUCUGAUUAGGUAGUUGGUGAG